rnacentral:rRNA from 1 species
UACGGAGGGUGCGAGCGUUGUCCGGAAUCACUGGGCGUAAAGGGCGCGUAGGCGGCGCGGGGAGUCAACGGUGAAAGCUCGGCGCUCAACGCCGAGUCGGCCGUCGAUACUCCCGUGCUCGAGCACUGUAGAGGCAGGUGGAAUUCCGGGUGUAGCGGUGGAAUGCGUAGAGAUCGGGAGGAACACCAGUGGCGAAGGCGGCCUUCUGGACCAAUACUGACGCUCAUGCACGAAAGCGUGGGGAGCAAACAGG